rnacentral:tmRNA from 1 species
GCCGGCAAAUCUUGUAAAACCGGCCACCCGCCCCCAUAAUUCGAUGCAUGGUUGUAACUCCGGCGAGCUGGAGACGUUCUGGACAGGGGUUCGACUCCCCUCAUCUCCACCUAAGCGCAUCGCGGUGCGUUUAGAUGGGGGUGUACCGGUUUCGACAGGGCGGGUGAAGGUGAGCAGGCAACUCGUCAGGCGAUCGACGUUAAUGAAGCAAAUUCAUAAAUGCCAAUGAUGAGCAUUUCGCUAUUGCCGCCUAAAAACGGCUAGCCGGGGCUGCUAGAGCCUUGUUACCAAAGAUAGCCGGCGGGGACUUCGGUCCCCGUCGUCA